GUGAUCCACCAGCCUCGGCCUCACAAAGUGCUGGGAUUACAGGUAUGAGCCACCACGCCCAGCCUGCAAACAUAUGUUGAACUCUUUGCACAGUGCCCUGCAUGAGAUAGAUGACAGCUCCUUCUUCCAUGUUGUUAAUUUGGUGUGAGUAUAUGUUAUAUGUAUGUAUAUGCAAGAUAAUAAUCUUCUUGUAACCACUGACAGGCCUUUUUGUGAAUGAUGAUGGAAAAAGCAAGAACCUUGUCCAGGUUCCUCUCCAGGGAGCAGGGGUGGGUUGUGAUUCUUGAUUUCAUUCCUUUAGAUAUGAAGAGUUUUCACACAGAGGCAGCACGAAUUUGUCUCUCUCCUAGAGGGUGGGGAGAGUUGCUGGGUGGAUAUAACUGCAUCACAGCCUUUCUGGGUAAACUGGCCACUCCCUACUGAUUUGUUAUCAUGCUAAAUGUGUCUCCUCCCUUCCUUUCUGGAGCUUUUGCAGCUGUUCCUGGAAGGAGACCCAGUUGAAAGGGGUUGUUAUGGACCAGGAACAGCUGGGAUCUUUAAUGAUCUGUGAGCAGCUUACAGCAAAGUUCCAACACCCUGAGUAUCAGUCCCCAAAUCCUUGGUCUUUGCAUUCCAACACAAAGUAAAAAGGAUUGAGCAGGGUUUUGGUUUUGGUUGCAAGUAACAGAAACCCAACGCUAAUUAAUAAACGGGAAAGUGUGUCAGUGGAAAUGUAAGUAAGAAGAGAUUUCAUUUACUGGCCAAUUCAAAAGAUGACAAGCUUUAGGCGUGGCUCAGUCCAGUGGCUCAUGAUGUCUUCAGGACUCAGUGUUUCUCUGUUGUCAUCUCUUAGUUCUAUUAUUUUUUCUGUGUUGGUUCAUUAUGAGGUUUCCUUUAGAGGGUGGCAGAGAAAGCCACUAGUUGCUUCAAGUCUUUAUUUUACCAGCUCCACAAGUCCGACGGAAAGAGAAAACUGCUUUCCCAAAGGGUGUAAGAGGAUGAAAGGCAUGUCAUCAGCUGAAUUGCAUCAGGUGUCCAUCUUGGAAUCAAUCACGGUGCCUCUUAUUAGCAAAGCCUGAGUCAUAGGUGAGUCUAUACUUGGAUGGGGUAGUAAGGAAAUCCCAUGUUGAUUGCAUGGAUGGAAAGUGGGGGUGUUGUGGUUUCAUAAUGGCUUAUUAGGGUUCAAUAAUCAGAACACCAAAUAAUCCAUGCUGGGAGGUAAAAAUUGCAGAUAUUUUACUUUAUGCCCCAAACUAGACUUCAAAUCUGUGCUGCUCUUCCAAUCAUGAAUCCGCAGAACAGAGGAUAGAAAGUUCAGGUCAAUUCAAAUUUGACAAACACUUUCCGAGCACUUACUAUGUGCCAAUAUCCGUGGGAGGCCCUGGGAAACCAAAGAUGAAUGAAACACAAACUCUGAUGUCAGAGACCUCACAGUCUGGUGUUUAAGACGAUAAUAGUCUGGAUUAGAUUCUGGUGUGAUGAGAUGGAUUGUCUCAUAAAAAACAGAGGGAAGGGAUUAUUUAACUCUGAUGGGUGGCUGGGUGCUGAGAAGACCCUCAGAGGGUGUAACCUUUGAGUCUUAAGGAGGAUUAAGUUUAAAGGGGAUUUUGUUGGAGGAUAAGCAUCAAGGAAAGCAUUCCAGGAAGAGAGACGGGCAUAUGCAAAGGUAUAGUGUUGUGACCUCUGAUUAAAUAUGGAUGAGACAGGACAGGGAAAAACACACUUGUUAGAUUGUGGCAAAUGCCCAUGUGAAGUGAUUAAGUGACUGAAAUUGGGCAGAGGUGGUGUGCUGGUAGAUUCUAAGGUGACCCCAGUGAUCCAUGCCUUGUAAAAUCUUCUCCCCUGUGAGUGCUCCUUGGUGAGCAGGUGAUGUUAUAUUGGGAGAUUGACUAUAAGAAGGGGAGACUAUCUGUGUGGUCCUGGCCUAAUGACAUGAAUCCUUUAAGAGCAGAGCUUUCUCCAGCUGGUAGAAAAAGGGGAAGUAUGAGACUUAAAGGUGGAGGUGGCCCCAUGGAAAAGACCUAAGGGUAGCCUGCGGGAACUGAGAGAAAACCCCAACUGGCAGCCAGCAAGAAAACAGGGACCUUAAUCUUACGACCACAAGGAACUGGACUCUGCUACCAGAAUGAGCUGCAAGGGAGAUUCUUCCUCAGAAGCUUCAGAUAAGAACUCCACCUGGCUGACCUUUGAUUUUGGUUUUGUGAGAACUUUGGCAGAUAACCCAGGCAUGUGUCAUUUCACAUCUGCAUAAAAAGACAUGCUGAAGGAUGUUCCUUGCAGAAUGGUUAUAGAGAAAAAUGGGAAUAACCACGAUAUAAAGUAACAGGGAAAUGGAUGAAGCUGGAAACCAUCAAUCUCAGCAAAGUAACAC
rnacentral:lncRNA from 1 species